UAAUUAAAAUGAUCCAUGAAUGGGAAUAUUACUUUGGUUUUUUUUGUUUUUUUGUUUAUUAUAAAAAAAUAUGGCAUUGAUUACAUGGCGCUUUAUAGAGGGGAAGUUAUUUUAUUUUGUAUUUUAGUCAGAUGUGUGUUGUUAUGUGUCCCGCGGCACCCCACAUCCCCUUCCUCGUUUAUAACGCUUUUCGAUUAAAAUGCUCAUAUUGCGUGUCCCCGAGACCCGCGUUAUAACGAGGGAGCACUGCAGUACCAAUCCCAAGCUUGAUAGUGAAAUGAUUGAUUCUCGUGACAAUACUACUUUAUUUUUAAGUAACCUGGAUUGGAUAAAGAAAGCCAUUGAUCAUAUUAAUCAUUUUUCUUAUGCCUCUGGUUAAGCUUACAUUUAGCUAAAUGUGUGAUUUUAUUUAUUCAUGAUUCACCUGAGACAAGUGUAGAAAACAUUUCAGUUAAAAACCGUUAAAUACCUUGGAAUUUGUAUUUCUAAUAAUACUCUUGGAAAAGAAAAAAAAAAAAAAUUAUUUCCUAAAAUACAAAAAAAAGUAAAAAAUACAUUUCUAAUCUCUGGUUACAGAGAGAUUUUACUAUUUUUGGUAGAUAUUUAUUUUCUAAAGUUCUAGACUGGUAUAACCUGCACUCUCAUUGUAUGUACUGUAUCUAAAAAAUAUAUUAAAAUAUUAAUGAUGUAUUAUUAAAAUGUAUUUGGAAGAACAAACCCCAUAAAAUAAAAUAAAAAUAUUAUUAUUUCUAAUCCAAAAAAUUGGUGGUUUAUAUAACAUAGACUUUAAUCGUCUCAACAAUACCUUUAAAAUUAAAUGGUUAAAACAUCUUUUGCUCCAUGAUAACUCCUUUUGGUUUUUAAUUCCAAACUUAAUUUCCCAUAAAUUGGGAGGUCUAAAAUUUCUGUUACCAUGCAAUUAUUCCCUAGAUACAAUUCCCUGUAAUCUAGCAAAAUUUCACUGGCAAGCCUUAACAGCUUGGAAGCUAGCUCAUAUUCAUGACUUUUCCCCUAAUAGAGCAUUAUUAUGGAACAACCGAAAUGUUUUAAAAAGAGGGAAAUCUUUUUUUUUAUUGAGUCAUGGCAGGAAAACAAUAUUUUCUUAGAUUGUUUUUGUUGAUAAUGGAAACAUUCUGUCAUAUGAAGCUUUUAUGAAUAAUUUCAAUUUUCCUUUGCCAUACAAAUAUUUUUGUUAUGUUGUAAGUGUUCGGUCUCUUUUACUGAAUUAAAGAUUAGAGCUAAACUUCUUUUAGAUCCCACUUGUUCCAAUACUUAUAUUAGAAUCACCUUUGUUAAUGAAGAUUAUACACUAUCUAUAGAAACUUCCUUUUGGAAUGGCAUUUUUAAUAAUAUUAAUUGGCAGUUAACUUGGUCCCUUCCCUCGAAAAUACUGUAUUAAUAACAAAAUUGUAGAAGUUAGUUUUAAGAUUUUAUAUAAGAUUUACCCUAUGAAUGAGACAGUUAGUAAAUAUAACUUUUAUGUAUCAUCCUUGUAUAGCUUUUGUAAUGGGGAAUGUCAUGAAGUAGAAUGGACUUGCGACAAAGGGAGGUGAUAGGAAUGAUGCAGAUGAUCAAGAUGUGACAAUGAGCAGUGAAGUUUUAUUAAGGACACACACAAAUUACAGAGUCUGGUCAGUGUAAACACUUCAGUUUUAGUGUGCCAAAAAAAAAAAAAAAAAAAAAUUGUAACUUACCAAAACGCACACUAAAAAAAGGAAAACAGGUUGUAUAGCAAAACAGCACACACAGAACAAUCCACUUGAGUCCACUUUCACAGUCUUUAACUGAAGCACUUCAUAUACUCACAACAGCAAAAAAUAAAGACAAUAAAUAAGCAGCUCACAUAACUGAGUUGAACUCUUAAUAAGAGCUCUUUGGUAUAGAGAGCAGCAAUAAGUGACCGCAAGGCUUAAACUCCCUCCCUAGACUGAACACAGGAUGGACUUAAAGACAUCACCCUCAUUAAACUCCACCUUUCAGGAAAAACCACCACUACAUAUAACAGGUAGGUAUGGAAUCAUGACUUCAAAAAAACAACAAUACAAUACAUGGCCAUAAAAACAUUUCUGUUUCUUAUUUAACAGAGAGGUCUCAUACAAUAUCAUACAUUUACAUUACAAUAUAACAUAUAUCAGGGUAGUAAUACCUUAUUAACAUUUUACGGAAAAAAUCUGUAAUAUUAAAAACUCCCCCAUUAACUAACAUUGGGCAUGCUUCCAUGUAGAAAGCUGAGUGCUUGCAGUGUGUGCGUCCCUACUAUCAACACAUCUGCGUAACAGGCCAACAGCAUGAGUACAAGCUGGCGAAGAGGCCCUCUGCUCUCCCCCAGAGCAACCCAGCAGAGAAGAAACCCAACGGGACUGCAAAGACCACACAAGCCUCCUUCAACACAUCAAGGGGACCUCGAACUUGAUGACCAUACAAGAGUUCAAAAGCAACCCAGCAGAGAAGAAACCCAGCGGGACUGCAAAGACCACACAAAGGAGUAAAUAAGCAAGAGCUGCUGCCACAGAGCCAGCACAAAACCAUGAGCACAAUCCUCACUGCACAGCAGAAACACGUACAACAAUUCCCCCGAUUCUGAAGCGCACGAUUUUGUGGGACUGUAAUAUUUGUGUCAUUUAUUUGUUUGUUUUGUUUGUUUGCAAGCCCGUCGUGUUCCCCUCCGAUACCCUUUUUGGUAGAGGAGCGGCCCUUUUUGUAUUUAAAAUAAACAUGGAUGUUAUUUUGUGACCAAUACAGAACAAGAAUAUAUUUUUAAUAUAAGAAAUGUAUGAUACUUAUA